AACCAAACCCUACCCCCCACCAAAAUCUCCCAGUCCUCAAACCCUAGCUUAUACUCUAUCAAUUUCUAUCAUAGCCACUGCUUCUUCUCUUCAUAACCUCAUUUAUCUCAAAGCUUCCAUUGUCAGACAUGGACCUCCAGCGAGCUAUGCUAGACGAACUCAUGGGUUCUGAUCGUAAUUUGACGGAGGAAGAGAAGAAAGAGUACAAGGAAAUUACGUGGGAUUCUAAGGAGGUCUGUCCAUACUAUAUGGCUCGAUUUUGUCCACAUGACCUCUUUGUUAACACCAAAAGUGAUCUAGGGCCAUGUGAUAGGAUUCAUGAUCCAAAGUUGAAAGAAAGCUUUGAGAGUUCCCCAAGACACGACAGAUAUCUGCCCAAAUUUGAAGCUGAACUUGCUCAGCGUUGUGAGAAAUUGGUCAUGGAUUUGGAUAGAAGAGUUAGGCGUGGAAGAGAACGCCUUGCUCAAGGGGAGGAACCAAUACCACCUCCUCCACUGUCAGCUGGAAAGUCUGAACAGUUAUCUGUGGUGGAGGAGAAAAUAAAGAACCUGCUGGUGCAAGUGGAAUCCCUUGGUGAAGCUGGGAAGGUGGAUGAAGCUCAAGCACUUAUGAAAAAGGUGGAUGAACUCAAUUCUGAGAAGGCCUUGAUUCAAUCCCAGAGCGAUAAAUUAUUGAUGGUUCCGCAGGAGAAAAAGAUGGCCUUGUGUGAGAUUUGUGGUUCUUUUCUAGUAGCAAAUGAUGCUGCUGAGAGGACUCAGUCUCAUGUCUUAGGGAAGCAGCACAUAGGUUAUGGCAUGGUCCGAGAUUUCAUCACAGAGUACAAGGCAGCUAAGGAGAAGGCAAGGGAAGAGGAGAGACUAGCUAGGGAGAAGGAAGCUGAAGAACGAAGGAAGCAGAGGGAGAAGGAAUAUGAGAAGAGGAGGAGGAGUGAUUCUAAUGAUAGGGACCGUUAUCAUGAUAGAGAUCGAGACAGGGAGAGGGACCGCAAUCGCGAACGUGAACGGGAUCAUGAAAGGUCACGAGAGUGGAAUGGUAGAGGUAGUGGGGAUGGAGGAAAGGGGACAGAGUGGAGGUCCAGGAAUGGAAGAGAGAGCGGCAGGGAUAGGUACCGUGACCGGAGUAGGUCACGGUCCCCUGUUAGACAUGGUCACAGGAGAUCACCUAAAAGUCCAGCUCACCAAUAUUAAAUGGAUUGGUAGAUAGAUAUCAGAGCUUUUAAAUUACAUGAGCUUUGUUGAGACUAUACCUCCCUUUCAUCAAUAUUAAUAGAGGAGAAAAGGGUUGAGUUUGCAGGAAAGACAUGAAAUCUGGUGAACCCUGGUGGCAAUAUUUGCCGCAGUUAAGUGCAUCCCUAGGGAAUGAUUUGUUCAGGGGAAAAUAUUUUCUAAUUGAAAGAUAGAGAACUGAGAUGUAAUGCCUCAAAGAAACCAUUUGUAAGAGCAACUUGCGACUGGCAUUAAUUUUCCACUAGCGCCAGGACUAUACGUUUUUUGGCAGUUCUUUUAAUGGUGCAAUUUUCUCAAUUGAAGGUAAAACUACCAAAAAUGUCUUCGAUUGGUUUAUGGUUGUUACUAAUUUAACCAUGCUUGGCAUUUGUCAUUUUAUGUAAUGUGAUCAUGAGGGAAAUUUAUGAUCGUAUGCAUGUGGGCCUGUGAUUUCUGUAGUGAA